rnacentral:pre_miRNA from 1 species
AAAUUACUCCCUCCGUCCCAAAUUUCUUGUCUUAGAUUUGUCUAGAUACGGAUGUAUCUAAUACUAAAAUGUGACAUGAUACAUCCGUAUUUAGACAAAUCUAAGACAAGAAUUUUGGGACAGAGGGAGUACUAA